rnacentral:lncRNA from 1 species
AGUGAUGUCAUGAGUGCUCUGGCCUUGCCCUGACCCAGGCUGAGAAGAGCCACACUGCCCUGGUGCUUUGUGCCUCUUGCUGGCAAAAUCCUCCUUGAACCAAAUGAGGCCAUCAUGUUCAGGACAGUGGAGGGAAGAACCUUUUGGUGUAGCAGCCCCAAGGACCCACACACUUUUCAAAAAAAAAAAAAAAAAUCUAGGUGGGUUAUAACGGAUUCUGAGAAACAAGCAACAUGGGCAGACUGGCACAUGUCUGACAAGUCACUCAGAAAAAUCAGUCAAGCCAAGCUGUUAAUCGCUGUGUAAAAGGCAACCAGGCUGUGUCGACACCCAAGAGACUCCGAAGACAACAGAGGAAGCCCG